UGGUGUGGAAAUAAGACUUGGUGGUCUAAUACAGCUAAUAUGUAGGUUAGCUUCACAGCUUGUCUGUAAGGAUUGAGGCUGGGAAUGGUCAUUGGAGCUGAAAUUUAUGGUAACUUUUACUGUGGCUGCAUAAAAUGACUGUGUGAUAUCACUGUAACAGUGAAGAAUGUAAUUUAGACAAUUUUUGUGUAUGCUUGAAAA